rnacentral:rRNA from 1 species
AUGGACUACCAACCGUUGGUCUCUGCCCUUGACGCCCGCACCAUCCCGGUCACUCUUGAUGAAUUGUUUGCUCAGAUGAGUAACUUUGAUCAAAGGGUGGCUUUGUUCCAAGGGGCAGGGACCGGCGGCGGCUUCAAGUCUUCGGCGAACAUCGCCACACGCGGCCGCGGCGGUGGCGGCUCAGUUACCGUGGACCUCCUCGCAACAAGGGCAAGGGCCAUGGUGGGGGCAACAGCAGCGGCCAGAAAGGCAACCCGCGCGGCGGCGGCCGACCCUCCUCCACCAACAAUAGGGGUCGGCGCACCAGCUCCUCCAACAGCAAUAAAUCACGCCCGGACGCUGUUAGGUGCCAAAUCUGUGGCAAGCUGGGACACUCAGCAAAAGAUUGCUGGUACCAAUUUGAGGAUGAUUAUGAUGCAUCGUCCCAAGAUGAAAAGGUGGCCGGGGCGGCUGAAGCCUCAUAUGGUGUUGACACGAACUGGUACGUCGACAGCGGAGCCACAAACCACAUCACCGGCAAGCUGGAAAAAGUGA